rnacentral:pre_miRNA from 1 species
GCGGGUGAGGCCGUGCGCCCCUGGAUCCAGGUGAGGCCACAGGCCCCUGGGUCCGGGAGAGGCCAUGCGCCCCU